rnacentral:rRNA from 1 species
CCUACGGGUGGCAGCAGUGAGGAAUAUUGGUCAAUGGGCGUAAGCCUGAACCAGCCAAGUCGCGUGAGGGAUGACGGCUCUACGGAUCGUAAACUUCUUUUAUAAGGGAAUAAAGUGCGGGACGUGUGCCGUUUUGUAUGUACUUUAUGAAUAAGGAUCGGCUAACUCCGUGCCAGCAGCCGCGGUAAUACGGAGGAUCCGAGCGUUAUCCGGAUUUAUUGGGUUUAAAGGGUGCGUAGGUGGGCUGUUAAGUCAGUUGUGAAAGUUUGUGGCUCAACCAUAGAAUUGCAGUUGAAACUGGGAGGCUUGAGUAUGUUUGAGGCAGGCGGAAUGCGUGGUGUAGCGGUGAAAUGCUUAGAUAUCACGAAGAACCCCGAUUGCGAAGGCAGCUUGCCAAGCCAUGACUGACGCUGAUGCACGAAAGCGUGGGGAUCAAACAGGAUUAGAUACCCUUGUAGUC